GUGCCAGCAGCUGCGGUAAUACGUAGGUGGCAAGCGUUAUCCGGAUUUAUUGGGCGUAAAGCGAGCGCAGGCGGUUUUUUUAAGCUGAUGUGAAAGCCUUCGGCUUAACCGAAGAAGUGCAUCGGAAACUGGGAAACUUGAGUGCAGAAGAGGACAGUGGAACUCCAUGUGUAGCGGUGAAAUGCGUAGAUAUAUGGAAGAACACCAGUGGCGAAGGCGGCUGUCUGGUCUGUAACUGACGCUGAGGCUCGAAAGCAUGGGUAGCGAACAGGAUUAGAUACCCUGGUAGUCCAUG
rnacentral:rRNA from 1 species